AGAGUUUGAUCAUGGCUCAGAACGAACGCUGGCGGCAGGCCUAACACAUGCAAGUCGAACGAACCUUCGGGUUAGUGGCGCACGGGUGCGUAACGCGUGGGAAUAUACCCUUGAGUACGGAAUAAUGUCUGGAAACGGACACUAAUACCGUAUAAUGACUCCGGUCCAAAGAUUUAUCGCUCAAGGAUUAGCCCGCGUCUGAUUAGCUAGUUGGUGAGGUAACGGCUCACCAAGGCGAUGAUCAGUAGGGGGUCUGAGAGGAUGAUCCCCCACACUGGGACUGAGACACGGCCCAGACUCCUACGGGAGGCAGCAGUGAGGAAUAUUGGACAAUGGGGGCAACCCUGAUCCAGCCAUGCCGCGUGAGUGAAGAAGGCCUUAGGGUUGUAAAGCUCUUUCAAUAGUGAAGAUAAUGACGGUAGCUAUAGAAGAAGCCCCGGCUAAAUUCGUGCCAGCAGCCGCGGUAAUACGAAUGGGGCAAGCGUUGUUCGGAAUCACUGGGCUUAAAGCGUGCGUAGGCGGAAACGUAAGUCAGGAGUGAAAUCCCAGGGCUCAACCCUGGAACUGCUCUUGAAACUACGUUUCUAGAAUCCGGUAGA
rnacentral:rRNA from 1 species